CUGGUGGCGAGUGGCGAACGGGUGAGUAAUGUAUCGGAACGUACCUUUCAGUGGGGGAUAACGUAGCGAAAGUUGCGCUAAUACCGCAUAUUCUGUGAGCAGGAAAGCAGGGGAUCGCAAGACCUUGCGCUGAUUGAGCGGCCGAUAUCAGAUUAGCUAGUUGGUGAGGUAAAGGCUCACCAAGGCGACGAUCUGUAGCGGGUCUGAGAGGAUGAUCCGCCACACUGGAACUGAGACACGGUCCAGACUCCUACGGGAGGCAGCAGUGGGGAAUUUUGGACAAUGGGGGCAACCCUGAUCCAGCCAUGCCGCGUGAGUGAAGAAGGCCUUCGGGUUGUAAAGCUCUUUCGGCCGGGAAGAAAUCGCAUGGGUUAAUACCCUGUGCGGAUGACGGUACCGGCAUAAGAAGCACCGGCUAACUACGUGCCAGCAGCCGCGGUAAUACGUAGGGUGCGAGCGUUGAUCGGAAUUACUGGGCGUAAAGCGUGCGCAGGCGGUUUUUUAAGACAGGCGUGAAAUCCCCGGGCUCAACCCGGGAACUGCGCUUGUGACUGGAAGGCUAGAGUAUGGCAGAGGGGGGUGGAAUUCCACGUGUAGCAGUGAAAUGCGUAGAGAUGUGGAGGAACACCAAUGGCGAAGGCAGCCCCCUGGGCCAAUACUGACGCUCAUGCACGAAAGCGUGGGUAGCAAACAGGAUUAGAUACCCUGGUAGUCCACGCCCUAAACGAUGUCAACUAGGUGUUGGGUGGGUAAAACCAUUUAGUACCGGAGCUAACGCGUGAAGUUGACCGCCUGGGGAGUACGGCCGCAAGGUUAAAACUCAAAGGAAUUGACGGGGACCCGCACAAGCGGUGGAUGAUGUGGAUUAAUUCGAUGCAACGCGAAAAACCUUACCUACCCUUGACAUGUCCAGGAGCCUGAAGAGAUUUGGGUGUGCCCGAAAGGGAACUGGAACACAGGUGCUGCAUGGCUGUCGUCAGCUCGUGUCGUGAGAUGUUGGGUUAAGUCCCGCAACGAGCGCAACCCUUGUCGUUAAUUGCCAUCAUUCAGUUGGGCACUUUAACGAGACUGCCGGUGACAAACCGGAGGAAGGUGGGGAUGACGUCAAGUCCUCAUGGCCCUUAUGGGUAGGGCUUCACACGUCAUACAAUGGUCGGUACAAAGGGUUGCCAAGCCGCGAGGUGGAGCCAAUCCCAGAAAGCCGAUCGUAGUCCGGAUCGCAGGCUGCAACUCGCCUGCGUGAAGUCGGAAUCGCUAGUAAUCGUGGAUCAGCAUGUCACGGUGAAUACGUUCCCGGGUCUUGUACACACCGCCCGUCACACCAUGGGAGCGGGUUCCGCCAGAAGUAGGUAGCCUAACCGCAAGGAGGGCGCUUACCACGGCGGGGUUCGUGAC
rnacentral:rRNA from 1 species